rnacentral:rRNA from 1 species
CCUACGGGCGGCAGCAGUGAGGAAUAUUGGUCAAUGGUCGGGAGACUGAACCAGCCAAGCCGCGUGAGGGAUGAAGGUACAGAGUAUCGUAAACCUCUUUUGUCAGGGAACAAAGGCGGGGACGUGUCCCCGGAUGAGUGUACCUGAAGAAAAAGCAUCGGCUAACUCCGUGCCAGCAGCCGCGGUAAUACGGAGGAUGCGAGCGUUAUCCGGAUUUAUUGGGUUUAAAGGGUGCGCAGGCGGUCUGUUAAGUCAGCGGUCAAAGCCCGGGGCUCAACCCCGGCCCGCCGUUGAUACUGGCAGUCUUGAGUUGGAGAGAGGUAGGCGGAAUGCGCGGUGUAGCGGUGAAAUGCAUAGAUAUCGCGCAGAACUCCGAUUGCGAAGGCAGCAUGCCGGCUCCACACUGACGCUGAGGCACGAAAGCGUGGGUAUCGAACAGGAUUAGAUACCCCUGUAGUC